GGUAGGGAGCAGGCCAGAGGGAGGGACGACCCGGGGGAGGGCGGGACCUGCAGAGCCAGCUCCUUUCCAGUAGCCGCGACCCCCUGCCGCCAGCGUGACACACAAGCCUUUAAAAGGCUCUCUGCUCAGGAGAGAGAACUUUCUGAGUCCAAGUUCUCUGACGAGUGAAGACGAAUUUGCGCGCCAUCAGAGGGGAUCAGUUGGAGUGCAGUGGCACAUUCACAGGUCACUACAGACUCAAACUCCUGGGGUCAAGAGAUCGUCCUGCCUCAAUCUCCCAAGUAACUAGGACUACAGGUAUGCAUCACAAUGCCCUGCUGAUUUUUAAAACUUUUUGUACAAAUAGGGUCUCACUAUGUUGCCCAGGUUGGUCUUGAACUUCUGACUUCAAGUGAUACACCUGGCUCAGCUUC